GACGAACGCUGGCGGCGCGCCUAACACAUGCAAGUCGAACGGAGCUGAGAGAAGCUUGCUUUUCUUAGCUUAGUGGCGAACGGGUGAGUAACGCGUGAGUAACCUGCCCUGGAGUGGGGGACAACAGUUGGAAACGACUGCUAAUACCGCAUAAGCCCACGAUCCGGCAUCGGAUUGAGGGAAAAGGAUUUAUUCGCUUCAGGAUGGACUCGCGUCCAAUUAGCUAGUUGGUGAGGUAACGGCCCACCAAGGCGACGAUUGGUAGCCGGACUGAGAGGUUGAACGGCCACAUUGGGACUGAGACACGGCCCAGACUCCUACGGGAAGCAGCAGUGGGGGAUAUUGCACAAUGGGGGAAACCCUGAUGCAGCGACGCCGCGUGGAGGAAGAAGGUUUUCGGAUUGUAAACUCCUGUCGUGAGGGACGAUAAUGACGGUACCUAACAAGAAAGCACCGGCUAACUACGUG
rnacentral:rRNA from 1 species